rnacentral:lncRNA from 1 species
AGCACCUUUAAAGACAGAGAAAUGUCUGGAAUCACUGUUAAUUAUAACAGCCGCACUCUCCAUGUGAGCCUCAGACAUGCCUGUUCUCAGCAUCACCUCUCCAACGCAAUGCUUCUCCAAGAGCUAUUUGCUUCUCUGUGAAGCGGAAAAACUGGUCAGAUUUGGGUCUGAUCUGUAUUUCAGCCAUGCCUAGAGGGCCCACAGGGCCAGCAAAGGCACUGUGCCACAAGGAAGAGGUCUCCUGGCCUGAGCUCUCAAGGUUAAUGCGAUGGAGGAGAAGGAUGGCAACCAAAAUGGAAUCUGAAUAAAGGAGCAGAUUGAGCAACCAGCAGCAUGGAACAUCAUGGUGUCUUACCUACAGAAUGUGCUUCAGCAAAGGAAACUUGAGGCCAAAGGGAAGGAGACUGUAAAUGACAAAUGUGGAAAAAAAAAAAAAGCAAACACCUUCAUUACAUGGAAAAUGGAGGAGGGGAACACUGCACAUCUAACAAAAUUAAGGGCAAGGACAAAGAGAAGAGAGGGUUUCAAUUACUUUAACUUGCCGGAACGACACUCCCAUUACUGCCAGACUGUCUGGUUCUAA